GGGAGUAGAACGCAUCUCAGAGCUGUCCCCCUGCCUGGGGCUGGGCUUUGACACAAGGGAAACUCCCCUUUCACCUUUUCUUAGACUCCAUUGUGUUCCAGCCCUUCAGGUCUCUGCUUUCCCUCCUCAGGCCACAUUCCUAACCCUCCAAUUUGCCUACCUCUAACUGUGGUCCUCAUCCUUUGGACUUGAUCACUCAGAAAGCCAUCUGAGCAGCCUUGCUUAUAGAACAAUGGUCAGGUUCAACUCAACCCACAAACCAUGGCUUGCUCCACCUUAUCUGCAGAAUGGGCCCCCAGGUUUUCAGACGACACCCAAGAAAAGGCAAUGCAAGAUCUGGCUCCAUCUACCUUUCUAAUUUAUUCCUCUCCACUUAGUGGAAAAGCCAUUGUACAGAAGACUUGGAGUUGCUCGCUAAGAACAAACACUAAGAGAAGUGCUGCAGCUCGUUUGUAGGAAGACUUGAGCUGCUCUCCUCCAAAUCUCAGCUUCGGCAUUUUACAUUCAAGAGCAACCUGAACAGUGCACUUGAAUCUGGAGACGUCUCCAAGUGCACUGUCUCGUGGGCGACAUCCGAAUGCAUCUUCCAUGACCAGUGUUAUUUCAUGAUAAUGUUCAUGAUGUUAUUUUGUCUCUUUCUGGAGCAUGAAAUAUCAAGUGAUAUUCCAGGGUGAACUGUUGUAAAAUGUAGCUUUUGCCAAAUCAAACUCAGUAAAAUAGUAAUUAAAGAAAACUUGG
rnacentral:lncRNA from 14 species